ACUCCACCUCUCCUCUCCACCAGAGGGCGCCAUGCUCCAGUAGGCGGCGCUCUCCUUGUGCUCUGUGCUCCAGCAUUGUGUCAAUAAGAAGUGGUGCUGUGAAGAGAACAAUAGUCAGACUGAAUGUUGAACAUCAGCUGCUUUCUCCUGCUGAUUUAAACCUUGUUGGACAGAUGGAACAUUGGCUGUGGAUUAUUCUGGCUGCUCUUUUCUCUGAGUGUAAAGGAGACUCAGUGAAGCAGACAGGAGGAGAAGUUGCUGCUGCAGCAGGAGAAUCACUGACUCUGGGAUGUACCUUUGAGACCAGUGAUACAUAUCCAUAUCUGUUCUGGUACAGACAAGAAGGAAACAGUUUACCAAAGUACAUGCUGAAGCAGCGAUUAUCAGCCAAAGAGAAAGCUCCAGAGUUCAACAGCAGCAGAUUUGAUGCAGACCUCAAUAAAACCAACAAGACAUUCAACCUGACGAUCCAGGAUCUCCGUCUGACAGACUCUGCUGUGUACUACUGCGCUCUG